AUGAUGGAAGCUGAGAAAAAUGAUAUUACUCAAGCCUUGUGCAGAGAGCGGAAAAAUGUAACAGAACUUGAAAAACGCCUGGCCACAAUUCGAAAACGUGAAGCUGAAGUCCGUGAGGAAUUAGCUCAGAUGAAAACUUCUCUUGGCAAAAAGGUCGCUAAUUUGGAAGAAAAAUGUCAACUUUUGGUCAUUGAAAAUACACAAUUCCGGGACCAAGUGAAUGAGGUAUGUAUUUUUUUUUUAAAUAAAGUCUCAGUACUGCCAUCAGUGUAUAAAAACCAUUCCACUUAUGUGUUGAAAUGCACGUGAAAAGAAUCUUGAUGAAAUAUUCAUAAGUAGAGAAUUCGAUCAAUUGUGUGGAAGAAUGUUUUGCUAACAUUUUGCCGCUAAAAUCACCUAAAAGUGUCGAACCAUGCCAGAGUCAAUGUGAUUUGGAAUCGGUAGUUCUGGAAAUGCAAUUAAAAAGGUUAACAAAGAAAGUUUCAAUCGGCCAUCCCGCCCGGCAAGUGGUUGCCUGAAGUAGAUGCGGAAAUGUUGUCACAAUGUAACUGCCAAAAAUAAUGUUGCGGCAACGUUGCAGCAACGUUGUGGCAAUGUUAUUUUUGUCCGUUGCCGGACGGGAUGUCCAGGGCUUAGAAUUAUUAGAUCAGCAAGCAACUUUACUCUCUGUUAGGUAGUUGGACAAUUUGUUUGAAAUUUGAAUGGCCGUAAGCAGAAUCGGCGUAACUACAACAAUCCAUCCCUGAUUUUUUCUUGAAUUUUAUUUUUGUUAAAAAAACCAAGGGACUUUCUAACUCUAAAUUGUGUAAGUAUGUUCUUUGCAACCCAGAGAAACCUCUCAGAAAGUUGCAUUGGUAGCACUGUCAGGUGUGGUAUGUAAGAAACUUUUUUAAAAACAGGAAAAGAUUGAAGUUUAAAAUGUGUUAUACUUUUAAUUCAUGAUAGCACCAUGUUGUUCAGUUUUUCGUCCGAAAAGUGAAACAUGCAUAAAAAUUAGGCAACAUGAAAUGCAGAUAGGCUGAAGGUGGUCAAAUCUAAUCACCUAUUCUUCAGGAUGAGCGAGGAGAUUCUCUAUUAAUAACUCUUACUUCAAAAAUCUCAGCCCAGUUUGACAAAAACAGCUCACUUGAAAAAAUUUCUGUACAUGGUUACAUGCUGCAGGGUUACCAUAGUCAGGGAAAACCGGGAAAAGUCAGGGAAUUUAAAUAACUCAGGGACAACCUGGAAAUGUCAGAGAAUGACAAAAAUGUCAGGGAAAAAUCGUCAAAUCGCCUUCAUUUGCUUUCUCGAGUGGGUUUGACUUUUUGGAAAACAAAUUUUGCCUGAAAACUGUUUCUGCGUCUUCUUAAAAAUCCAACAUUUUUUCAACUGUCGGGGAAUUUCACCAAAAUGUGCCGGGGAAAUGUCAAGGAAUUUAAUUUUCCAAAUUCUGCGGCAACUCUGAUUUCCUUUUCAUCCUCGUUUUUACUUCUGGUGGUUUCAACAAAUAAGUGGAAAUGUUUGAAACUUUUGUAUAUAACUUUUUCUAGUUGAAAUCGAAAGUUUCGGAAAGAGGUGGCGAGUCAGGACGCAGGAUGAAUGAAUUGGAGAGUGAGCUGUCAAUCUUUAAGGAAGAAGCAGAGCGGUACAAACAAUUGACUGAGGAGUUGAGUGCAGACCUCAAAGAGAAGAGGAAAGAACUUAGGCAAUGGGAAAUGGAUAAAACCAAACUUCUUGUGGCACAACAAAGAAUUAAGGUAAGGCUCUAAGUUAAUAUUUUUCUACUCCACCCUUGAUUGUAUUUUAUUUUGCAAUGAAGAAAUUUCAUUUAUUGCUCAUCAUAGAAACAGUAUACGUCCCGUUAGUUUUCCUAUGCAAGUAGGUUCUUUUAACAGGGUGUCUACUGUACAGAAAAAGUACGAAUACACUGAAAAAGCACGGAUUUCGGAAGGUAGGUGCACGGAAGUACGGUAAAGGUAUGGAUUUUCCGUUCAAAGGUACGAAAAUUUGAAAUUUUUGUGAUAAACUCUCAAAAGUAGCUUUGUGAGUAUGGGAUUUCCAUCAAUUAAGUUUCCGGUUCGAUUCCUCGAGUUUUUCUGUCUAUUCCUUUGU
rnacentral:lncRNA from 1 species